CAGUAGCCGCGGUAAUACAUAGGUGGCAAGCGUUGUCCGGAAUUAUUGGGCGUAAAGGGCUCGCAGGCGGUUUCUUAAGUCUGAUGUGAAAGCCCCCGGCUCAACCGGGGAGGGCCAUUGGAAACUGGGAAACUUGAGUGCAGAAGAGGAGAGUGGAAUUCCACGUGUAGCGGUGAAGUGCGUAGAGAUGUGGAGGAACACCAGUGGCGAAGGCGACUCUCUGGUCUGUAACUGACGCUGAGGAGCGAAAGCGUGGGGAGCGAACAGGAUUAGAUACCCCGGUAGUCCCUGUCUCUUAUAC
rnacentral:rRNA from 1 species